rnacentral:misc_RNA from 1 species
GCUUAAGAUUGGUCUUUUUUAAAAUGCAACAAAUAUUAUAAGUAGCAAAGUCAACUCAACAAGCUUUACAUGAUAUAAAAGACCAAUCUUAAGCAUUCAAAAAGACAAUAAAAGAUUAACUAAUAGGUUAUGCUGUUCCUCAUAUACCAUUUUGCCCUAAUGACAACUCACACACACCAUUUCUACCUAUUCUUCUCCACGCACUUCAACACCUUCAUGCAAUUAUUCUUGCAUGAAGUAAUCAUUUCCAUGUGCCACAACCUUAAAUCUAAAUCCCAAUUCUUUUAACCACCUUCUUCACCUACUAUCUUAGAUGUCCAUUGAAGAAUCAUUGGAACUUGCAGGAUUUGGCUCCCUGUUCUGGUGCUGAAGAAAGUUGGG